rnacentral:tRNA from 1 species
GGUGGCUCACUGGUAGAGCUCUUGCCUUGCAUGCAUGAGGCCCUGGGUUCGAUUCCUCAGCACCA